rnacentral:rRNA from 1 species
UCCUACGGGAGGCAGCAGUGGGGAAUUUUCCGCAAUGGGCGAAAGCCUGACGGAGCAAUACAGCGUGAGGGAAGACUGCCUAUGGGUUGUAAACCUCUUUUUUCAGGGAGGAAUAAAUGACGUGUACCUGAAGAAUAAGCAUCGGCUAACUCCGUGCCAGCAGCCGCGGUAAGACGGAGGAUGCAAGUGUUAUCCGGAAUCACUGGGCGUAAAGCGUCUGUAGGUGGUUAAGCAAGUCAACUGUUAAAUCUUGAGGCUCAACUUCAAAAUCGCAGUCGAAACUGUUUGACUAGAGUAUAGUAGGGGUAAAGGGAAUUUCCAGUGGAGCGGUGAAAUGCGUAGAUAUUGGAAAGAACACCGAUGGCGAAGGCACUUUACUGGGCUAUUACUGACACUCAGAGACGAAAGCUAGGGUAGCAAAUGGGAUUAGAUACCCCAGUAGUCCUAGCCGUAAACAAUGGAUACUAGAUGUUGAACAGAUCGACCUGUGCAGUAUCAAAGCUAACGCGUUAAGUAUCCCGCCUGGGAAGUAUGCUCGCAAGAGUGAAACUCAAAGGAAUUGACGGA